AACCAUCCUGGUAAUCCCUUUUCUUUCCUCAGACACCUGCAUGUUUGGUUAGCAGGACAGAGGGAUUACACACUUACAAAACAAUACAAGGACUUUAACAGCAACAGCAGCUAUGGUGGAUGCAGCAGCAGCAGAGCAGUUCCUGGAUGCCAACCCGCAGUUCGCUAAGCAGUACUACGACAUCCACUUCCGGCCUAAGGUCAUCUCAGACCUGCUGGACAACAACCGGAAGACAAAGAUGGACAUCGACAAGUUCCACGACCUGACCAUGGUGGAGGAGAGCGAGGUCCUUUUCGAUCUGAUGCGGGACAUCCAGGACAACCUGCAAAUGGAGAAGUCUGUCUUUAACCUCAUGAGACACCUCAGCUUCAUUAUGAGGGCCGAACGCAUGAGCCUCUUCAUGUACCGGCAGAGGAAUGGAGUGGCCGAGCUGGCAACCAGGUUAUUUAAUGUCAGUAAAGACUCCAUGUUUGAUGACUGCCUGGUACAGCCUGACAGUGAGAUUGUCUACCCGUUGGAUAUGGGCAUCGUGGGCCACGUGGCGUCCACCAAGAAGAUGGUCAACAUUGCUGAUGUGUCUGAGAGCACUCAUUACAGUGACUUUGUGGACGAGCUGACUGCGUAUAAGACAAAGAGCAUCCUCGCCAUCCCCAUCAUGAACGGUAAAGACAUGGUGGCCGUCAUGAUGGCCCUCAACAAGUUAGAUGGGCCGUGCUUCACUGCAAAGGAUGAAGAGACCUUAAACAAGUAUCUCAACUUUGCCAACCUGAUCCUGAGAGUUUUCCACCUGAGCUACCUGCACAACUGCGAGACCAGGAGGGGACAGGUGCUGCUGUGGUCGGCCAGCAAGGUGUUUGAAGAGCUGACGGACAUAGAGAGGCAAUUCCACAAGGCCCUGUACACAGUCAGAGCUUUCCUCAACUGUGACCGUUACUCUGUGGGUCUGCUGGACAUGACCAAGACCAAGGAGUUCUUUGACCUGUGGCCAGUUCAGAUGGGAGAAGUUCCACCGUAUAAUGGACCCAAAACUCCUGAUGGCAGGGAAAUUAUCUUCUACAAACUGAUUGACUACGUCCUGCAUGGCAAAGAGGACAUCAAAGUCAUACCGAAUCCUCCCGCAGAUCACUGGGUCCUGGUUAGCGGUCUACCUACCUACGUUGCAGAGACGGGACUGAUUUGUAACAUAAUGAAUGCAGCUGAAGAUGAAUUUUUCAAUUUCCAGAAAGGGCCUCUGGACGACUCAGGCUGGACCAUUAAGAACGUCCUGUCUAUGCCAAUCGUCAACAAGAAGGAGGAGAUAGUGGGUGUGGCCACGUUCUAUAACAGGAAAGAUGGGAAACCCUUUGAUGAACAGGACGAAACGCUGAUGGAGUCUCUGACUCAGUUCCUGGGCUGGUCAGUGCUGAACACCGACACCUAUGACAAGAUGAACAAGCUGGAGAACAGGAAGGACAUCUUCCAGGAUAUGGUGAUGUACCAUGUCAAGUGCCGCAAGGAUGAAAUCCAGGACAUUCUGGACACCAGGAGCAGAUGGGGGAAGGAACCGCAUGAGUGUGAGGAAGAGGAGCUCCAAGAGAUUCUGUCAGAGGUCCUGCCAGACUCAAAGGAAGUUGAGCUCUUCGAGUUUCACUUCUAUGACUUUCAUCACAGCGAACUGGACCUUGUGAAAUGUGGCAUCAAGAUGUACUACGAACUUAAAGUGGUGGACAAGUUUCAUAUUCCCAGAGAGGCCCUGGUGAAGUUCAUAUACUCUCUCAGUAAAGGCUACAGGAGGAUCACCUACCACAACUGGAGACACGGCUUCAACGUGGGACAGACCAUGUUCACCCUGCUGAUGACGGGUGAUCUAAAGCGUUACUACACAGACUUGGAGUGCAUGGCCAUGGUGACCGCCGGUCUCUGCCACGAUAUUGACCACAGAGGAACCAACAACCUCUACCAGAUGAAGUCUGGUAAUCCUCUGGCGAAGCUUCAUGGCUCCUCCAUCUUGGAAAGACACCAUCUGGAGUUUGGCAAGACUCUGCUGAGAGAUGAAUCGUUGAACAUUUAUCAGAAUCUCAACCGCCGUCAGCACGACACAGUCAUCCACCUCAUGGACAUCGCCAUUAUCGCCACUGACCUGGCUCUCUACUUCAAGAAGAGGACGAUGUUCCAGAAGAUCGUGGACCAGUCCAAGACCUACGAGAACUGGAACGACUGGACCAAGUACAUGAUGUUGGAGACCACGCGCAAAGAGAUCGUCAUGGCCAUGAUGAUGACUGCUUGUGACCUAUCUGCCAUCGCCAAACCGUGGGAAAUCCAGAGCAAGGUGGCGCUGUCUGUAGCUGCAGAGUUCUGGGAGCAGGGAGACCUGGAGAGGACAGUCCUGGAGCAAGUUCCCAAAUUCCUAUGAUGGACAGAACCAAAUCAGAUGAUCUGCCAAAGAUGCAGUGUGGUUUCAUCGACUUUGUUUGUGCUUUUGUGUACAAGGAGUUCAGUCGUUUCCAUGUGGAGAUCACCCCCAUGCUGGAGCGCCUGAUGAACAACAGGAAGGAGUGGAACGCCCUGAAGGAGGCGCACGAGGCCAAACUGGCCGCCAUUGAGAAAGCCAAGGAGGAAACUGCAGGGACCAGACAAGCAGCGAGUGCCGCCCAGUCUCAGUCAAAGACUUGUGUUGUCAGCUAGAGAUGCUACAACACGAUGUUUCUUGCUACAUGGUUGUGGUGGUCCGAUGUAAUUAUUGCAAUCUCACCAGAAAAAUCCAGUUUACUCCCUAAAAUCUAAAGCAAAUUCCCACAAAAUACCUGUUCCAGCCGUCUUGUUUUUCUGUUCUGCUUUCUUUCUUCACUGCUCCUUCCUGUCCGUCCUUUGCUACUGUAUAACUCAUUAGAUGCACUUGGCAUUGUGGGGUGUUGUGGGAAGCUCCAACAUCUGAGAGUCAGCUGGCAAAAAAGCAUUACAUGUAGCAAGCUAUGCAUAUUAUCUAAUAAAUCAGAACAUGGAAGACCAUCAAACAGGAA